rnacentral:rRNA from 1 species
CAGUCGCCGCGGUAAUACGAAGGUCCCAAACGUUGUCCAAAAUCACUGGGCGUAAAGGGAGCGUAGGCGGCGUGGUAAGUCAGAUGUGAAAUCCCGGGGCUCAACCCCGGAACUGCAUCCGAUACUGCCAUGCUUGAGGGUUGGAGAGGUAGCUGGAAUUCUCGGUGUAGCAGUGAAAUGCGUGGAUAUCGAGAGGAACACUCGUGGCGAAGGCGAGCUACUGGACAACGUCUGACGCUGAGGCUCGAAGGCUAGGGUAGCAAAAGGGAUUAGAUACCCCUGUAGUCCCUGUCUCUUAUAA